rnacentral:lncRNA from 1 species
UGUGCUGUGGUCCCGCUGCUUGGAGCCACGGCGGAUAAAGCUCACAGGCGGUGUGCAGCGCGUUGUCCAGGGAGCGUGAAGCGAUCAGGGUGCCAAACAUUUACAUCAGAGCCUCGGAAUGUGGCAGUUUUGUAUAUACAUGAAGUGCGCUCAUCGAGAAUGUCAGCUGUGCAGCUCUCCAUAGAAGCCGGCCAGACAGGACAGGCUCGGGAGGGAACCAGCCCGUUCUACAUCUGGUCUUCCAGUGCAUACUGGCCUGACAGAACCUCUG